rnacentral:piRNA from 1 species
GUGCCUAAAGGAAUUUUGUAGUAAC